UGUGGAAUACUGUUGACCUGCUAUCUCUCCCUAAAAAAGACACCUAAAAUGUUCAGUUAUUCAACUAUAUGGAGGAGUGGAGUGGAAUGUUAAAGAACUGAGCUGGCCAAGCCAAACAUCUCCAAAGGUCCUGAAAUUGAUUGGUGACAUUAUUAUCUCAACUCAGCAUUGUCCUCAUUCAACGUGGACCUGUUUCUGCAUUCAGUCAUGACGUUUAUGACAGAGAGUGAGAGAGAGAGAGACUGACAACACUCAUAGACGAGAGAGGGGCAUGUAAAGUAUGGACUGAAGAGAGCCAACGACUUCCACGUUCACCAUGCCACUGCACAUGCAACAAAAGUCCUGUGAGUAAUGGCCAAUAACUCUAAUUUAUUAUGUAUUAUAUGUACUCCGUGCAAAAGGGACAAGGAAAUCGUUUUUCUGGUAACUCUGGCAAGGACUGAUUUUUAUAAUAUCUGAUUUUAUGAUAUUAUACCUUUGCCCCCACAACAAAGCUUUUUUUUUACACUUUUUUUUUACAUUUUUUCGAUUUUCAAAGAUUUUGCCAUAGCAGGCCAUCAUGGCAAAAUGUUACCAGCAGAAACACUGUGUGAUUGUUCUCUCUGCUCUCUCUGAUGCUGGUGUUAGGUCCUGAGAUCCUGAUCUGCAAUAACUCAUUCCACCAAACCUGGCGGGAUCCUCAAUGUUCACAUACUGCACCCUUGCCUCAACAACUACAGGAAGACAGCACCGUGGGAAUAUCUUGACACCUUGCUUAUCUAUUAAGGUCACUUUUAUGCCGAUGGAUUUUGGAAUUUUGUCUGACUGUGGAAUGUGGGAGGAAGUCAGGGCAACCCUGGUAAUUCUAUUCAAGCACAUUCAUUUUAUUACUCUCAAACAUCCUGCUGAGCUGUAAGUAUCAUACUGAGGACUGAUGUAUUUUUAUUUUAUUAUUUAAAGAAACAUGAUUUAAUAUUUUCAUCAA